rnacentral:rRNA from 1 species
CUACGGGGUGCUGCAGUAGGGAAUCUUCCGCAAUGGGCGAAAGCCUGACGGAGCGACACCGCGUGCAGGAUGACGCCUCUAGGGGUGUAAACUGCUUUUCUGAGUGAUGAAAUUUUGACAUUAGCUCAGGAAUAAGCACCGGCUAAUUACGUGCCAGCAGCCGCGGUAAUACGUAAGGUGCAAGCGUUAUCCGAAAUUACUGGGCGUAAAGCGUCCGCAGCCGGACUUGUAAGUCUGAUGUGAAAUCCCAGAGCUCAACUCUGGAAUCGUAUCGGAAACUGUAGGUCUAGAGUAGUGUAGAGGUACAUGGAAUUUGUGGUGUAGGGGUAAAAUCCGUUGAUACCAUAAGGAACACCAAAAGCGAAGGCAGUGUACUGGACACUUACUGACGGUCAGGGACGAAAGCGUGGGGAGCGAAAAGGAUUAGAUACCCGGGUAGUC